rnacentral:lncRNA from 1 species
UUUAUUUUGAUAAUAAUGUGAAAACAUCAACAACGAGGAGGGUGGCACGUUGCUGACAGAGAGUGGCCGGCGGGAACUUGUCCCUAGACUAGAAACACAAAGAUUAUGCCACGUAUAUAUCAGAAACAGGGAUUUGGACACGUGUCUCACAAACUCAAUCUAGAUAAGGCCUGCAACUACUUCAUUCUACUAUACUAUUGUGACAUCCACUCUUUUCUCUUCGUCCUUCUUUUAUGGCGGCACAAUUUGAGUUUUUCAUAUUUCACCACUCUUUUCCUUUUCUCUUUUCUG